AUUUGUAAUCCGCUGCGUAUUUGAUGUUGUCAUGUUUCGGCACAUGACUCCAAAAUAGGACCUGGUAGGAACAACAAAAUGGAUUCUAGUAAGAGUCGCAUGGCGAAAAAAGGGGCUAGUCAAUCUUCUUUUGCUCAAAGUAUAGGCUUUGUUAAAAGUUUAUAUACUAAUCCUGCAAGAUGGCAACUUGUUAAACAUACUUCAAUCUUUUUUUUGGCUGUUUACUUGGCUCAUGAAUUUUCAGAUGUUGAUCUAAUGGCGCCUCCACCACUUUAAUUAAAAAAUGAGCAUAUAUUAAAAGGUGCUUACGUGUUGCUCUCGACUAAACUCUCCUGUUGUUUUUGUUUUGUGUUAUUUAUGUGAAAAGUAUGAUUUAAAUAUUUUUUUAAAAAUGUU